rnacentral:rRNA from 1 species
AGCAGUCGCCGCGGUAAAACGAAGGGUGCAAGCGUUAAUCGGAAUUACUGGGCGUAAAGCGUGCGUAGGCGGCUUGGUAAGUUAGAGGUGAAAGCCUGGAGCUCAACUCCAGAAUUGCCUUUAAGACUGCCGAGCUAGCAGGUGAGAGAGGUAAGUGGAAUUCCGAGUGUAGAGGUGAAAUUCGUAGAUAUUCGGAAGAACACCAGUGGCGAAGGCGGCUUACUGGCUCAUACUGGACGCUGAGGUGCGAAAGCGUGGGGAGCAAACAGGAUUAGAUACCCCAGUAGUCCCUGUCUCUUAUAC